rnacentral:rRNA from 1 species
GAGCUAAUACCGGAUGAUGACGUAAGUCCAAAGAUUAUCGCCCAAGGAUGAGCCCGCGUAAGAUUAGCUAGUUGGUGGGGUAAAGGCCUACCAAGGCGACGAUCUUUAGCUGGUCUGAGAGGAUGAUCAGCCACACUGGGACUGAGACACGGCCCAGACUCCUACGGGGGGCAGCAGUGGGGAAUAUUGGACAAUGGGCGAAAGCCUGAUCCAGCAAUGCCGCGUGAGUGAUGAAGGCCUUAGGGUUGUAAAGCUCUUUUACCAGGGAUGAUAAUGACAGUACCUGGAGAAUAAGCUCCGGCUAACUCCGUG